rnacentral:lncRNA from 1 species
GUGGCCUCAGCGCUCGGCAGGCGCGCACUCAGCUCCACACCCGGCUCUCUCGGCAUCUCAGACCCGGAAAAAUCCCUCUGCUUUCUCUGGCCAGUUUCACACAAUCAUCAGGUGAGCCGAGGAUCCAUUGGAGGAAGGCAUUAUCUGUAUCCAGAGGAAAUAGCCAAGGAUAUUCAAGGUGUGCCUGGGAAGUUUGAGCUGCAGCAGUGGAACCUUAAUGCCCAGGAUGAUCCUGUCUAACACCACAGCGGUGACGCCCUUUCUGACCAAGCUGUGGCAGGAGACAGUUCAGCAGGGUGGCAACAUGUCGGGCCUGGCCCGCAGGUCCCCCCGCAGCAGUGACGGCAAGCUGGAGGCCCUCUACGUCCUCAU